AUCGAACGCUGGCGGCAGGCCUAACACAUGCAAGUCGAACGAGUGGCGGACGGGUGAGUAAUGUCUGGGAAACUGCCUGAUGGAGGGGGAUAACUACUGGAAACGGUAGCUAAUACCGCAUACCAUCGGAUGUGCCCACACGGGAGUAGCUAGCAGGUGGGGUAACGGCUCACCUAGGCGACGAUCCCUAGCUGGUCUGAGAGGAUGACGAGCCACACUGGAACUGAGACACGGUCCAGACUCCUACGGGAGGCAGCAGUGGGGAAGUUGGCGCAAUGGAAGAAAGCCUGAUGCAGCAAUGCCGCGUGUAGGAAGAAGGCCUUCGGGUUGUAAAGUACUUUCAGCGGGGAGGCGUUACCCGCAGAAGAAGCACCGGCUAACUCCGUGCCAGCAGCCGCGGUAAUUC
rnacentral:rRNA from 1 species